GUCUCGAUGGCGCAGUGGUUAGCGCACUUGCCUCGUAAGCAGGAGACCUAGGUUCGAAUCCCAGUUUAGCACC